rnacentral:rRNA from 1 species
ACUCCUACGGGAGGCAGCAGUGAGGAAUAUUGGUCAAUGGAGGGAACUCUGAACCAGCCAUCCCGCGUGUAGGAAGACGGCCUUAUGGGUUGUAAACUACUUUUAUACAGGAAGAAACGUACCCUCGUGAGGGUGCCUGACGGUACUGUAGGAAUAAGCACCGGCUAACUCCGUGCCAGCAGCCGCGGUAAUACGGAGGGUGCGAGCGUUAUCCGGAUUUAUUGGGUUUAAAGGGUCCGUAGGCGGAUUAAUAAGUCAGUGGUGAAAUCCCAUCGCUUAACGAUGGAACUGCCAUUGAUACUGUUAGUCUUGAAUGAGGGUGCAGUGGUUGGAAUGUGUAGUGUAGCGGUGAAAUGCAUAGAUAUUACACAGAACACCGAUUGCGAAGGCAGAUCACUAACCCUAAAUUGACGCUGAGGGACGAAAGCGUGGGGAGCGAACAGGAUUAGAUACCCUGGUAGCAC